GCUGUGCGGAUCGGUCGGCAACGAGAUGGAUCGACUCGGGAUAGAUUGCACAUUUUUGUUUUGUUACUAUCGAAUCGACUUCCUUGUUGCCGAUGAUCGAGGACGGGGUAGGAUUAAACUGUCAUUAGUAGGCUGAUUCCAUGCUUUUUUGACGACAGUGAGAAGGUAGAAUAUGAAACGCAAGUGAUGCAGAUUACUGUGCGAGUGUUUGCUCCAGCCGUUCGUAUCCCCCCGAGAAAAGGAAAUGCCUGACUGGUUACGACACCCUAAUAACUGAAUUUCCACUGGAUUUUACCCGGACUUAUUUCCAGAACAAUUCACUUCCGCGCAUUGUCGAAAUCGCCAUUAUUUCCUUUCCACAAUCGUUUCCUCCUUUCUUCCGUACACGCGCACCACCGUCCAUAAGUACACUGUCACUUGCCACUUUAUUGGAAAUGGGUAGAUAAAUAAAAGUAAAACGCAGUGAAUUAAACUUA